UGGUGUUGAGUCAUGGGGGCGUGCUAGGAUGCGUUGCCAUGAUGAGCCACGUUUCCGGGCUUGCACAUUGCCACGACCUAGCUUAUGCCAUGAAAUAGUUGGCUGACAGAAAAUGUGUAAAA
rnacentral:sRNA from 1 species